rnacentral:lncRNA from 1 species
ACAGAGCGGCUCCUGGCUCCUCAGACCGCCGCAGCCCGUGGCUCCUGCCCUGGGUCUACCCAGGGCUACAAGGGUCUUUUGCGGUCGACCCUGCGGGGAACCGGUGGGAAAACUGAGGUCCCUAAACACAGAUUCGGAGCGCCCUCUUCCAGUUGGCAGCUGGAUGCCAGCCAGAGCUAUGCUGUGCCCUUGCCCUGAGAGUUUCCCGGGCACCGCCUCAUCCUGAGCGACAUCAGGGGGCCCGGGUCACGGUCGACUUCCAGGGGUCUCCACAGCCACGAAGGUUGGGGCCCGCCUUCCUGGAGCGAGUAAUCCAUCCAUCCCGUGAAUACUUGCCAGGCACAUUGCUAGGUGCUGGAGAGGCAAUGAGAGCACAUUCGGAGCCCUGCUCGCCUGAACUUUACCAUGGAGUGGAGGAGUGGACAUUAGUGACAUAAUUGCUCAAGUAAAUGGAGAAUUUCAGCGUUGACAAGUAUUAGUAAAGAGAAGUUCAGCGUGCUACAACCAUGAAUAAGCAAGGGACCCAAUCUAGUCUUGGGGUCAGGGAAGUGAUCCUGGAGAAGUGAAGAAUGAGCAGUUUUCUGAGUAAAGGGGAGUCGGUCAAAGCAAGAGAGAGCAUGGCCUGUUAUGUGAAAGUUUGGCGCUGGAGGAUCUACCUCUGAGAUGGCUCAUUCACAUGGCUGUUUGCAGCAGAUCUCAGUUCAUUACUACAUGGAUCUCUCCACAAGACUGCUUGAGUGUCCUCACAUGGCAGGAGGUCUUCCUUCAGAUAGAGACGGGGUUUCACCGUGUUAGCCAGAAUGGUCUCG